AGUGAACGCUGGCGGUAGGCCUAACACAUGCAAGUCGAACGGCAGCACAGUAAGAGCUUGCUCUUACGGGUGGCGAGUAGCGGACGGGUGAGGAAUACAUCGGAAUCUACUUUUUCGUAGGGGAUAACGUAGGGAAACAUACGCUACUACCGCAUACGACCUACGGGUGAAAGCAUGGGAUCUUCGGACCUUGCGCGAUUGAAUGAGCCGAUGUCGGAUUAGCUAGUUGGCGGGGUAAAGGCCCACCAAGGCGACGAUCCGUAGCUGGUCUGAGAUGAUGAGCAGCAACACUAGAACUGGAACACGGUACAGACUCCUACGGGAGGCAUCAGUGGAGAAUAUUCGACAAUGGGCGCAAGCCUGAUCCAGCCAUACCGCGUGGGUGAAGAAGGCCGUCGGGUUGUAAAGCCCUUUUGUUGGGAAAGAAAAGCAGCAAGUUAAUACCCCGCUGUUCUGACGGUACCCAAAGGAUAAGCACCGGCUAACUUCGUG
rnacentral:rRNA from 1 species